GGAGGGGUGGCAGAGCGGUUGAAUGCGGCGGUCUUGAAAACCGUUGGGCGGGGUGACCCGUCUCGAGGGUUCGAAUCCCUCCCCCUCCG
rnacentral:tRNA from 1 species